GGUUAAGCGACUAAGCGUACACGGUGGAUGCCCUGGCAGUCAGAGGCGAUGAAGGGCGUGCUAAUCUGCGAUAAGCGCCGGUAAGGUGAUAUGAACCGUUAUAACCGGCGAUACCCGAAUGGGGAAACCCAGUGUGACUCGUCACACUAUCAUUAACUGAAUCCAUAGGUUAAUGAGGCGAACCGGGGGAACUGAAACAUCUAAGUACCCCGAGGAAAAGAAAUCAACCGAGAUUCCCCCAGUAGCGGCGAGCGAACGGGGAGGAGCCCAGAGCCUGAAUCAGCAUGUGUGUUAGUGGAAGCGUCUGGAAAGGCGCGCGAUACAGGGUGACAGCCCCGUACACAAAAGCGCAUGUGCUGUGAGCUCGAUGAGUAGGGCGGGACACGUGGUAUCCUGUCUGAAUAUGGGGGGACCAUCCUCCAAGGCUAAAUACUCCUGACUGACCGAUAGUGAACCAGUACCGUGAGGGAAAGGCGAAAAGAACCCCGGCGAGGGGAGUGAAAAAGAACCUGAAACCGUGUACGUACAAGCAGUGGGAGCACCCUUUGGGGUGUGACUGCGUACCUUUUGUAUAAUGGGUCAGCGACUUAUAUUCUGUAGCAAGGUUAACCGUAUAGGGGAGCCGGAGGGAAACCGAGUCUUAACCGGGCGUUAAGUUGCAGGGUAUAGACCCGAAACCCGGUGAUCUAGCCAUGGGCAGGUUGAAGGUUGGGUAACACUAACUGGAGGACCGAACCGACUAAUGUUGAAAAAUUAGCGGAUGACCUGUGGCUGGGGGUGAAAGGCCAAUCAAACCGGGAGAUAGCUGGUUCUCCCCGAAAGCUAUUUAGGUAGCGCCUCGUGAACUCAUCUCCGGGGGUAGAGCACUGUUUCGGCUAGGGGGCCAUCCCGGCUUACCAACCCGAUGCAAACUGCGAAUACCGGAGAAUGUUAUCACGGGAGACACACGGCGGGUGCUAACGUCCGUCGUGAAGAGGGAAACAACCCAGACCGCCAGCUAAGGUCCCAAAGUCAUGGUUAAGUGGGAAACGAUGUGGGAAGGCCCAGACAGCCAGGAUGUUGGCUUAGAAGCAGCCAUCAUUUAAAGAAAGCGUAAUAGCUCACUGGUCGAGUCGGCCUGCGCGGAAGAUGUAACGGGGCUAAACCAUGCACCGAAGCUGCGGCAGCGACGCUGAUGCGUUGUUGGGUAGGGGAGCGUUCUGUAAGCCUGCGAAGGUGGCCUGUGAGGGUUGCUGGAGGUAUCAGAAGUGCGAAUGCUGACAUAAGUAACGAUAAAGCGGGUGAAAAGCCCGCUCGCCGGAAGACCAAGGGUUCCUGUCCAACGUUAAUCGGGGCAGGGUGAGUCGACCCCUAAGGCGAGGCCGAAAGGCGUAGUCGAUGGGAAACGGGUUAAUAUUCCCGUACUUGGUGUUACUGCGAAGGGGGGACGGAGAAGGCUAUGUUGGCCGGGCGACGGUUGUCCCGGUUUAAGCGUGUAGG
rnacentral:rRNA from 1 species